UGGCGUGCUUCGCUCCAUAGAUU
rnacentral:miRNA from 15 species